rnacentral:rRNA from 1 species
AACGAACGCUGGCGGCAGGCUUAACACAUGCAAGUCGAACGCAUCCUUCGGGGUGAGUGGCAGACGGGUGAGUAACGCGUGGGAACGUGCCCUUCAGUUCGGGAUAACCCAGGGAAACUUGGGCUAAUACCGGAUACGUGCGAGAGCAGAAAGAUUUAUCGCUGAAGGAUCGGCCCGCGUCUGAUUAGCUAGUUGGUGGGGUAACGGCCCACCAAGGCGACGAUCAGUAGCUGGUCUGAAAGGAUGAUCAGCCACAUUGGGACUGAGAAACGGCCCAAACUCCUACGGGAGGCAGCAGCGGGGAAUAUUGGACAAUGGUCGCAAGCCUGAUCCAGCCAUGCCGCGUGAGUGAUGAAGGCCUUAGGGUUGUAAAGCUCUUUCGUCCGGGACGAUAAUGACGGUACCGGAAGAAGAAGCCCCGGCUAACUUCGUGCCAGCCGCCGCCGUAA